UCAUAAUUUCAUGGCUGGACUUACUUCACCAUGGGAUCCCAAAUUCCCUUGGGCUAGAUGGUGAAAGUGGCAUCUUAAGUUUAAAAGUGACUGUAUUUGAUUGCAUUAAGUUUUAAGUUGGUCAUGUAGGAGGCACUAAUUGUUAAAAUGAUCAUAUCAAUAGAAUUAAUAUAAUUAAAGAGGAGUAAAUGCUUUAACAUGGGAAGCAGUCCAUACAGCAGACUCAUAGAAUGGCAAUUGCUCUAAGUAACGCUCAGUGACCUCAGAGUCAUCCCUAAAGGCAUUCUGAUUUGGCUAAAAAGCCCACAAGAGCAUUUCAGGCAUGGAAAGUCAGGACACUUGUGCGAAAAGGUGAACCUACAGGGAGAGUCUCCCUGGGUGAGACUCCUGUGGAAAGAAGUGGUCAUCAAAGAAGGAUGUACUCUCUUCAAAGGGAGAACUUUCACUUUGCUUACGUCCUUCUCUAAAUAUUGACUGAGUUUGUGGAUUCAGAAGGCUUCCAUAGCCUAGACAGCUCAUGUCAAGAGCCUUGGGUGAUCACUGACAUCACACAAAAGAGUGUGAAUUGUUAAAUUAACCAUAGGAGUCACUGUGCACUAACUUCCCAUGCAGGACCUCAAGACUAUGCUUAAAAAAACAGAGGGGAGAGUAUGAUACCCCCACUAUUGGUGUAUUAACUUUGCUCCUUUCACCAUAAAGUUCUUAUAGGUCUCACCCCCUGGAGAGCCACCAGCAUUGAAAUGCUGGAGACCUCUCACAGGUGCAACCCAAUUGCCUCUGGUUUGAUGGAGGGACCCAACCACCCAACAAUGGAAGGGGCCUGAUCCCCUCAUAAUGAUGGGCAAAGGUUUUGCUUGUGUUUUCCAGAGAUCACUCUGCAGCCUGUGUGGAUAGCAGCCUGAAAUGCCAAACCCUGGACCCAGUCUCUGAAAGCUUACCCUCUGACAAGCCAACUUCAGCGCCUUUCCCUGAACAAGCCAUUCACAGAAAGAUCCUCUUCAGAUCAGCUACAGCUUAAAUGGAAGGGACCUUACCAGGAGACUGGGUUGCCAGCAUCACUGCAGAGAACAAGAACAGUCCCACAGUGACAGAGGUGGAGCCUGGAGCUGGAGUCUCUACAAGCGGCAAGGACCCAUGGCAGUGUGGCCAGGAGUUCCCCAGGUCUCACAGAGGACAGAUGAAGAAGUCAAUAAAACUGGAGAAAAAGAUUCUACACACUUUUCAAAAGAUAAAGAGGAAGAAUACAUCUGGACUAAUCCAUAAUGCAAACAUUAUACAACUGCAAUGAUUGAAGAAAUCAAAUUUCCACAUGAGCAAUAAUAUAAAAAACAAACUAAAUUUUGAAACAGGAUAUUCUUCAAUAGGUGAAUGUAUGAGUAAACUGUGUUGUGUCUGAGAGACCUCAGCCUGGAUGAAGGCACAGCUAUUUUAGAAUAGGCCUCCAUCUUGUAAUUCAGGCCUGACCGAGCCCUGAACCCUGAAGCUCAUGAAAGAAAAAAUAAAUGAACUCCCCUUGCAAUAAACCCCACCUAGCAACAGCCAAUCAGCAGCUAGCAGGGAGAUACCUAAAGUUUCAGGUGUCUUUUCAGGCACUUAAGGUAAUUGAUAAUAUCCUGAGACCCUGCAGUUUGGCAAGUACACCAUAGUGGCUCUGACCCUAUACUUUAGCCAAUCAUUUUUUUUUUUUUACUUUUUGGCAGGCAGAGUGGACAGUGAGAGACAGAGAGAAAGGUCUUCCUUUGCUGUUGGUUCACCCCCCAAUGGCCGCUGCGGCUGGCACGCUGUGGCCAGCGCACCAUGCUGUUCCAAAGGUGCCAGCCUGAGUAGUAGUUUUACCAUUAAUUCACAUAGUACAACACACUGAGGACAGAGAUCCUACAUGGGAAGCAGGUGUACAGUGAUUCCCAUUGUGGAUUUAACAAUUGACAGUCAGUAAUCACCCAAGGCUCUUAUCUUGAGUUGCUGAGGCUAUGGAAGCCUCUUGAGUUCACAAAUUCCAACCUUAUUUAGAUAAAGCCAUAAUCAAAGUGGAAGUUCUCUCCUCCCUUCAGAGAAAGAUAUCUCCUUUGAUGGCCCGUUCUUUCUGCUGGGAUCUCACUCACAGAGAUCUUUCAUUUAGCAACCUGGUUAUUUUUAAAGUAACAAGCUGAUAUAAGUGCAUAUGAAAAUGCAAAGAAUCUAGGAUAGCCAAAAUAACUGAAAAAAUAAUAAAAUCAAAGGGAUGAUGAUUUUUAAGUGUUAUAAAUUUAUACUAAUCUAAAGUAUGCUGUUGUCAUACAGAAAGCCAGACAGAUGAAUGGAACACAAAAGAGGUUCCAGAGAAGAUCCAAACACAGUGAACAGGUUUUCUACAGAGGCACUAUCACAGUGCAGGGGAGAAAGUAUAGCCUUUUCAACACAUGGUGUUAGCACAAUGAGAUACUAAUUUCCAAUAAAAUAGCUUCUAUUUACAAAAUUGAAAAGAAAAUAUGCCACAGAUCUAACUGUAGUACUGAAAACUACAAUACUUCCAGAAAAAAAAAUCAUAGAAGAAAUUUUUUUUUCACUUUAAGUUAGGCAAAGAUUUCCUAGAUACAAGAAAAAAUUAAAAUCUAUAAUUGAGUACAGGGAUAAUUAACACUUAAUCAAAGCCUAAAACUUCUUUUCUUCAAGACUUAUUUAUUUAUUUGAAAGGCAGAAUUACAGAAUGGCAGAUGCAGAGAGAGAGAGAGAGAGAGAGAGAGAGAGAGAGAGAGAGAGAGAUCGUCCAUCUGCUGGUUCACUCCCCAGAUGGCCACAAUGACCAGAGCUGGGCUGAUCUGAAGUCAGGAGGCAAUAGAUUCUUCUGGAUUUCCCAUGUGGGUGUAGGAACCCAAGCACUUGGGCCAUCUUCUACUGCUUUCCCUGGCUAUAACAGUGAGCUUGAUCAAAAGUGGAGCAGCCAGGACUCAAAGUCAUACCCAUAUGGAAUGUUAGUGCUGCAGGCAGCAGCUUUACCCACUAUGCCAUAGCAUGGCCCCAAAAACUUCUUUUCAAAAUACUGUCUAAAGAAUGAAAGAGCAAAAAAAAUCCUUUAAAAAUAUACUGAGACCAGCUUUGUGGCAUAGUGGGUAAAUCUUCUGCCUAGAGUACCGGCAUCCCAUAUGUGCACCGGUUUGAGUACCAGUUACUCAACUUCUGAUUCAGCUCUCUGCAAUAGCCUGGGAAAACAGUAGUAGAUGACCCAAAUCCUUGGACCCCUGCACCCUCAUAGGAGAUCCAGAGGAAAUGCUUGGCUCCUGGCUUUGGAUAGGCACAGUUCUGGCCAUUGCAGCCAACUGGGGAGUGAAUUAGCAGUUGGAAGACCUCUCUCUCUCUGCCUCUCCUUCUCGCUCUGUGCAACUCUGGCUUUCAAGUAAAUAAAUAAAUCUUUUUUUAAAAAAAAGAAAAAGGAAAAAUAUACCUGAUAAAUUAAAUUUUAUAGUGUAAUACAUAAGAUGCCAACAAAACAACCCUUAAUUCUAAAAUAGUAAGCAUGUUAGAAAUAGUUCACCACAGAAGACAGGAAAGGGAGCUGUUGUUUAAUAAUGGGUUGAUCCAUCUCCUACAAUACUGGGAUUCUAUAUGAGUGCUGAUUUGAAUUCUGGCUGCUAUACUUCCAAACCAGUUAUAUUAAUGCUUCUGGGAAAGCAGCAGUGGAUUCCACACAUAUUCUGACCCCCUGGCACAUAUGUGGGAGACUGUUAUGCAGUGAUCCUCACCAGGUAAUCAGCAAGCCCUGAGUAGAUGCAACUUCCCACAGUGACUGCCCAAAGUCCCAGCCACACCCUGAGCCCUCCCACACAGCAUCAGUGUUCUCACAGUCCUAGCACACAAGCCUCCCACAGUCAUGGGCACCCAGCCCUCCAUCAGUUCCCCCCACCAAAUUCAAGUUUCUCUGCUCUGCUGUUUGCUGGGUGUACAGACACUGGUGCAUCUAUUACAUAUGUCCAAAAUGAUGCCUGCUCUCUAUCAGCUUAUUACAGAAUGCCAGUUUCAGGAUGAUCAGGGAGACAGAAACAUGACAGGUACACUGUCCUACCUAGGGCUCCUAGCUGGAUUCCCACCAGGAUCUUUCUGCAACUUUAUCACCAGUGGCUUGGGAUGCUCCAGUCUGGUCUCACUUCCUGAGCUGCUGCUGAGGUUCUUGGCUGCUGGGUUUCUGAGUUGUGCAUGUCCACACUCUGCACAUGGUCCACAGUGUCCCUCUAAUUUGUGUGGAGUUUCCUCUGCCAUUUUUUCCCUAACUCUUCCUUGAGACUGUACUCUCUCCAGUUUUUUCAUACUAUCUUCUACAACAGUAAGCUCCCUCUAUUCCUCCAUCUUAAUCCAAUCCUUGAUUUAUUUUUUCUCAAGAAAUUCAUUAUCUGUUCAAUUACUCAUCUGUUCAAUUGUUUAUUAUUGGGUUCAGAAAAUACUUACUGAACAACCAAUGCAUGUCCUAAUAGUCAUGGUGGAAAGAGACAUGGCUUUUAAAUUUUAAAAUUUUAUAAUAAAAAUGAUAAUCUGUGAUAGAUUGCCAAUAUUUUAUUUUCUAAAGUACAUAUACCAAGUCUUCUCAUUUUCCCUAGAGUAUAAACAACUAUUAUACAGUACCCUGAAAAAUCAUAGCCGUUUAUGAUAACAGGGUCAAUGACACUGUCAUAUAUAUAAUGCUAAGGAAUGGCUAAAUUUCAUCUUUCAAAUUGCUUUUAUUGGAUGCAUGCUUGUGAGAACACUACUAGAAAGGCUUCACCCUAAGCUCAUUUUCCCAACCGCACCUCCCUCCCUACAAACUGCCCUCUCUAACUUGGAUUCUGUAUCAUCUUCACUCUCUGAAAAAGAAUGCACCUGCCAACUAAUGUGAAGAGCAAAUCACUUCAUCUCCUGUUUAGAUGCUGCUUUUUGGACACUUGUGUGCUUCUACCUCCAAAAACAGCCACUCUGUCAUUCAACGGUCACUGUUAUGUCCUUCAACAAAUAGGCACUAAAAAAAGACAAGAACAAUCCUACACUUCAUGGGUUUUGUGUCUUCCCAGAGCCUGUAGAUUACAAUUCUCAUGGCUAAGGUCACCAAGGAGUUGGAUCAAGACAGACAGCAUAGAGUUCCCUAUUAAAAAAAAAAAAGGUCAGGUCUUCCUCUAACACAUUUGUGUUAGCCAAUGAAAAUUUGUUAGAUUAUCAGAUCAGCUACUUACUACAUUAGGACAAAGAGAUAACAUAGCAUCAUGGAAUGAAUAAGAAAAUGAACCUAGGGUGCUGCUAUUUUUUCCUUUUUUCGUGGAGGCAGCUGGCAGUUUAAGGAAGAGAAGAGUUUGGACAAGAGUGCAAGCUCUGAACCAGCAAAAGCCAACCCUAGCUGAAAGAGUGAUGGUCCACACCAAAAGUUCUUGCUUUCCAAAAUUCAGAAACAAGCUUCCCAGAAACUGAGAUGCCCCAGGAAGAAAAGACAGCUAAAGAAUCCAGUUAGGUUGACUCCAAUGAGACAAGAAGAGAAACACAUUUUUCAACAUGAUGCUUGAAGUAUGCUCUCCAUCUCAUGAAGCAUCUGUCCAGGGUCUGGUGCCCUUUUGGUAAACAGAUGCCAUACUUCCCCCCUAGCUGAACUGUAGCCAUCAUCAUUCAUCAGCUGGCCUCUACUCUGUUCAGCAGCACUGAAGCCUAUACCCUAUCCCCAAGCCCUACUUCAAAAUCCUCAGCUUCUGUAGCUGGAUGGACCAGAGAGACUGGUAAGCCAAACUCGAGUGAAGACAAGGCACAAUAACAAGAAAUAUGGAGAAGUGUGUAAUUCAGGUUUGAGUUGUAGAGACAACAUGUACUUAACUAACAAGUCUUGGUUCCAAUCCAGGUCCUGCAACAUGUUAGUCUGUCACAAGACUUUGAGCCAAUGAUCUUGCUCCUCAGCAUCUGUCUCCUCAUCUGCAGAGAUAAAACGCCGACUUUGCAGAGCUACUAUGAAAUUUAAAUACAUAAGAAGGGCCGGCGCAGCGGCUCAUUAGGCUAAUCCUCCGCCUUGCAGCGCCGGCACACCGGGUUCUAGUCCCGGUCGGGGCACCGAUCCUGUCCCGGUUGCCCCUCUUCCACGCCAGCUCUCUGCUGUGGCCAGGGAGUGCAGUGGAGGAUGGCCCAAGUGCUUGGGCCCUGCACUCCAUGGGAGAUCAGGAGAAGCACCUGGCUCCUGCCAUCGGAUCAGCGCGGUGCGCCGGCCGCAGUGUGCCUACCGCGGCGGCCAUUGGAGGGUGAACCAACGGCAAA